CUAGGUCAAAUUACCAAUUUACCCCUAGGUUACCUUUACAUCCUUAAGUAUCAGUGCUCCUCUAAUGAAUAUCUUGUUUGUGGUCUAACCAUCAAAUAGAAACCCCUCUCGGGCCAGUGAAAGGGUAGGACCCUUUGUUCAACUCUCGGAGACACCACUUAAGGGAACACUCAUCUACUUACCCUAAAGUCAGGAAGAAGUGGGUUCCAUCUUGUGAAAUUAUGUUUCCAGCUCCCCACUCAUUUGAGUCGGUCCAACGAGAUCCGUUCGUCGUCAUCGAGGUCGUCCACACCGUCGUCGAGAUCCAGCUUUGUAACAAAUCUGUUCAAGCAUGGGCUUCACUCUAUCUCGCCAGAUCUAUACUUCAUCUCGCUGAAAUCUUGUAUUCUUGGAUAUGGUUUUGAUUCACAAUUUGGAGAACAUUAAUGUGUUGUCCAACAAGUUGAUAUCGAUGCCGGCAAGAUUUUCAAUACGUAUAUGAGAUUGAAGUGCCGGAAGGAGUUAAGUUGUUCAAUAGGUUUGAGACCGAUCUUGACAAGGUUUUGAGAUUUCAAGGGAUUAAAGCCACUGUCCAAGAUUGUUAACGACGUUUGGAUGUUUUGAUAGGUAUCGAGCAACCAAGAGGUAGAAUUGACCAUUUGAUGAGAAACGAGGUUAAUUUGAAGCUAUUUAGAGGUAAUUUAAGCAUCGGGGCUCUAUAAAAGAGGAAAUGACCAAUCUGCUCCUAAUCGGAGUGUUGCAAUGCUCAUAUAUGUAUAAGUCUAACGCUCGUGCAAUGCAAAAUGGACCUGAAGAUGUAAGACAUAGUUGCAAUGCGGCCCAAGAGCGUUGAAAAGCUACAUACUUUUAACGAAAUACCACCAACACACGCGCGCAAGGCAGCGUCAUGCAAAUGUUGCAACACCUUUCCAAUGCUUGAGGGUUGGAUCGACAAGAGAAUUGCAACGCUUGCUGCGACUAUUGUAUAACUAUGUUCUUUCCAAAUUACGUAAAGGGAGGAGGAUAGUUAGGCCGUCUUAGAGAGCAUGUUACUUGGUUUUGGCCAUUCUAAGCCAAAACUCACGAGAUUUCCUUUGAUUUUAAGUUGUAAUUAUAUAUCUUGGCAUCAUGAGUCGGAUUUUAUGAGCGAUUGAAGGCCAUGACGUCGGGUUUUGAGGUUU